rnacentral:rRNA from 1 species
GACGAACGCUGGCGGCGUGCUUAACACAUGCAAGUCGAACGGUGAAGCGCCUUCCUUUUUGGUGGGUGUGGAUGAGUGGCGAACGGGUGAGUAACACGUGAGUACCCUGCCCCCUUCUUCUGGAUAACCGCAUGAAAGUGUGGCUAAUACGGGAUAUUCUGGGUCUGUCGCAUGAUGGGUCUGGGACAGAUAUUGUUUCGGUGGGGGAUGGGCUCGCGGCCUAUCAGCUUGUUGGUGGGGUGAUGGCCUACCAAGGCGGUGACGGGUAGCCGGCCUGAGAGGGGGAGAGGGCCAAAGGAGAGUGGGAAACGCCCCAGAGUCCGGGGGGGGGCGGCGGUGUGGAAGAGGGGCAAAGGGGGGAAAGCAAGAUGCGGCGACGCCGGGGGGGGGAGGGAGGCCUUCGGGGUGUAAACCUCUUUCGGAGGUGAAGCGGGCCUCCGUCGGUUGUGGGUGGGUUGGAGGUAGUUGGUAAAGAGGCGCAGGAUAAUUACGU